rnacentral:rRNA from 1 species
UGGCAAGCGUUGUCCGGAAUUAUUGGGGCGUAAGGGCUCGCAGGCGGUUUCUUAAGUCUGAUGUGAAAGCCCCCGGCUCAACCGGGGAGGGUCAUUGGAAACUGGGGAACUUGAGUGCAGAAGAGGAGAGUGGAAUUCCACGUGUAGCGGUGAAAUGCGUAGAGAUGUGGAGGAACACCAGUGGCGAAGGCGACUCUCUGGUCUGUAACUGACGCUGAGGAGCGAAAGCGUGGGGAGCGAACAGGAUUAGAUACCCUGGUAGUCCACGCCGUAAACGAUGAGUGCUAAGUGUUAGGGGGUUUUCGCCCCUUAGUGCUGCAGCUAACGCAUUAAGCACUCCGCCUGGGGAGUACGGUCGCAAGACUGAAACUCAAAGGAAUUGACGG